GAUUCCUUAGUACGGCGAGUGAACCGGGAUGAGCUCAAAUUUAAAAUCUGGCGUCUUUCAGGCGUCCGAGUUGUAAUCUAUAGAGGCGUUUUCCGCGCCGGACCGCGUCCAAGUCUCUUGGAAUAGAGUAUCAAAGAGGGUGACAAUCCCGUACUUGACGCGACAACCGGUGCUCUGUGAUACGUUCUCAAUGAGUCGAGUUGUUUGGGAAUGCAGCUCUAAAUGGGUGGUAAAUUCCAUCUAAGGCUAAAUAUUGGCGAGAGACCGAUAGCGAACAAGUACCGUGAGGGAAAGAUGAAAAGCACUUUGGAAAGAGAGUUAAACAGCACGUGAAAUUGUUAAAAGGGAAACGAUUGAAGUCAGUCGUGUGAAAGGUAUUCAGCCGUCUCUGGCGGUGUAUUUGCCUUUCACGGGUCAACAUCAGUUUGAUCCGGUAGAAAAAGGCGGGAGGAAGGUGGCACCCUCGGGUGUGUUAUAGCCUCCUGUCAUAUGUGCCGGACCAGACUGAGGAACGCAGCUUGCCGCAAGGCCGGGGUUCGCCCACGUACAAGCUUAGGAUGUUGACAUAAUGGCUUUAAACGACCCGUCUUGAACCACGGAC
rnacentral:rRNA from 1 species